rnacentral:miRNA from 1 species
UGAAAUUAUAGAUUUCGUACA